rnacentral:rRNA from 1 species
GAUCCUGGCUCAGGAUGAACGCUAGCGGGAGGCCUAACACAUGCAAGUCGAACGGGAUUGAGAGCUUGCUCUCAUGAGAGUGGCGCACGGGUGAGUAACGCGUAUGCAACCUACCCUUUACAGGGGAAUAGCCCGUCGAAAGGCGGAUUAAUGCCCCAUGGACCUUUAUGAAGGCAUCUUCGUGAAGGUAAAGAUUCAUCGGUAAGGGAUGGGCAUGCGUGCCAUUAGCUGGAUGGUGGGGUAACGGCCCACCAUGGCGACGAUGGCUAGGGGUUCUGAGAGGAAGGCCCCCCACACUGGGACUGAGACACGGCCCAGACUCCUACGGGAGGCAGCAGUGAGGAAUAUUGGUCAAUGGGCGAAAGCCUGAACCAGCCAUGCCGCGUGCGGGAAGAAGGCGCUACGCGUCGUAAACCGCUUUUGUCCGGGGGUAACCGUGGGGACGUGUCCCCACCUGCAAGUACCGGACGAAUAAGGGUCGGCUAACUCCGUGCCAGCAGCCGCGGUAAUACGUAGGUGGCAAGCGUUGUCCGGAAUUACUGGGUGUAAAGGGAGCGUAGGCGGGAAAAUAAGUUGAAUGUUAAAUCUAUGGGCUUAACCCAUAUCAGCGUUCAAAACUGUUUUUCUUGAAUGAAGUAGAGGCAGGCGGAAUUCCUAGUGUAGCGGUGAAAUGCGUAAAUAUUAGGAGGAACACCAGUGGCGAAGGCGGCCUGCUGGGCUUUAAUUGACGCUGAGGCUCGAAAGCGUGGGUAGCAAACAGGAUUAGAUACCCUGGUAGUC